UGUACAUAGAUAUAUAAACACACCUCUAUAAGUAAAGGUAGAUCUUUUUUAAAGGGAGCAAUAUCCUGCUGCAUCUGGUAGGAGUCAGAGAAUGGAAAAUUUCCACAGAAGAGACUUGGGAAAGUUCUAGAGGGACUAUGAAACCUUGGGGAGAAAACUGAAGGAUUUGUACUCUUGGAGGACUGUGGGAUGGUGGAGUGCUUUCAUUGUUUUUCCUUCAGAAGGUUGGGAUUUUGGAGGAAAAAGUAGUAUGUGGGAAAUAAGUAGCUAGAGAGAUGGGGUGGGGGCAAACGGGGAGAGAGAGAUAGGAAGAAAGAAAGAGAGAGAGACCUAUGUAUCUAGAUAUAGUUCUCUAUCUCUAUACAUAGGUAUAUAAUCAACGAAUGGUAUUUGGAUUUCUAAACUAUGGGUAUGACUCAAGAAUGUCAGACAAUUGGUGAGAUAUUGACCAACAUAUUAUUUGACUUCUUCAAGAGAAAUUUAUAUCAAAUAGGAUGAGCUGGAGAAAAAAAAUGCCCAGAUAAAAUUUGAUAAGUAGCAGUUUUUCCUGUACCCCACAGAUUUUUAAAAAAUUGACAUCCCUUUAAUGUUCCUGGGUUAACAUCUAAAAAUUCUUAUAUAAAUAUAAAUGGUAGCAAAGGAUUUCUUGUGUAUUUUAAAUAAUGACAUUUUAAGUAGAAUUGUUCUAAAAUGGUUAAUGUGAGUCAAAUCUCUCUAAAUAUCAUGGUAAUUUAAAAAGUCCAUGAAAAAGUUCUUUUUUGGCAGUCAGAAUUUUACAUCAUUCCUUUUCCUCUGAACUUACAUUUUCAUUCCCCAGUCCCCAAAGAAUUUGAUUUUCAUGCAAUAUAUUGUUAUAAUUAAAAGUCUUUGAUAGAUCGACCUAUCAAAUUAUCUCCAAUAAAAUAUGGACAUAAAUUUAAUUUUUUAUAAUUUAUGGGACUAUUAAGUAUAGCAACAACACUUCUUCUGGAUUGAAUAAUCAUUAGAAUUAAUAAGCAAUAAAAUAUAAAUAUAUUUAAAAUUAGUAUAACUAGAAAACAUAAAAGUAAAAUUUUAUUGAAAAUUCAUCUCUCAUUCAAAUGAUGGUGCUCUUUUUGUUCAAUUAGUUCAGAUAGCCAUGAAUAAUUAUUAUUUUUAAAUAUAAUUAGGGACCAGUGGAAAUUAAUAGCCCAGGAAAGAGACAUAUUAGGCCACCAUUAAGAGCUGGACUUAUAAAUUAUGUUAUUAAAUGCAUUGUUAAUAAUAGAAUCCACAAUGCAUUUCUACCAAAUUACCCACCUCUAAUACGAUAUCCUUUGGGAAAGCUCAUUUACCCCCAGGUUUAUAUAUGUGCCUCAGUUUGAAGAUUACUGUUAGAUAUACUAUGUCAGGAUGACAUAAAAUGAUGGUGAACAUCCAAUAGGCCACAUGAAAAAGUCACUAGGAAGGGGAUCAAUCACAUCAUAGUUUCAGAUACCUAUACUAUAUACCAAUAUGCAAACAAUGGAUAAGAACAUAAAUCUAAUAAUACAGGGUGAUAAAUAGUACCUUAUACUGAAGACCAUGGCGUGUUAAAUGAAGUCAGAUGAUGGAAAACUAUGAUGUAUUCCAAAGGAACAGAGAUACUUAAGGGAAGACAGAGUAAAACUAUAUAUCAUACAUACCCUAUAUACCUGGUCAGUGAGUACUUGUUAAAAAUAGAAAAGCCUGGGCUCUAUGACCUAAUUAAUUGGAUUAUCUUAGGAUAGGGCUAAAAAUAUUUUUUACAAUAUUUCCAGGUUUAAGGUCUGUCGUGUGUGAGAACAAUUCAGUGCUUAGAAAAGAGAACUCAUUAAUUUCAAUUAAAAAAUAGUCAAUGAAGCCUUUAAAAGUAAAGCUAGUUCAUGAUAAUCGAGAAGCUCUUAAAACAAAUCUGAUGAUGCAAAUGUAAACAUUCCAGUGAACAGGAAAAGGGGAAAUUCUCUAAAGCAGUGCUGUUCAAUAGAAAUAAUAAUGUGAGCCACAUAUGUAAUUCUAAAUUUUCUUGUAGCCACAUUUUAAAAAGUUAGAACAAGUGAAAUUUAUUUUAAUAGCAUAAUUAUUAAACCAACAUUUCCAAACUAUUGUCAUUUCAACAUGUGAUAAAUAUGAGAAUUACUAACAAAAUAUUUUACCAUCUUUUUUAACUAAAUUUUCAAAAGAGUGUCUUUUAUACUAUAUAGCACAUUUCAAUUCAGAAUAGCCAUAUUUUAAGUGUUCAAUAGCCACAUGUGACUGGACAGCAUGGGUUUAAAGAAAAUAGAUACAAUAGAGGAAACUCUCUGAAGUUCAGAUUUAAAAAAAAAACUUGUACAAAAUAUAGGAAAAAAAGGUACUGUAUUUUAAAAUACUUUUGGCAGCAAGUAAAAGCCUCAAACUCCAAACCUCAAAUGAGCUUAAAGGGGAACACAAGUAUUAUCCAUCACAAGAAAUCCUGAAAUAGGGCAGAUUCAAUCAUGUCAUCAAAGACCAGGUUCUUUUCAUGUUUUUAGUCUGCUCUCUGUGUGUUGCCUUUAUCCCAAGACCAGUAACAAAAUGGCAGCAGUAGUCAGUCCCAGAUAUUACACAGUGACAUAACAGCGUUCAGAAGUAGAAGAAAGAGAGCAUCUCUUCUUGGGUGUCUCUCUCAGUAGUGAGAGAACUUUACUGAGACCACGCCCAAUAGGAUUCCUUUCAAUACUCAUUGGCCAGAGUUGAGUUAAAUCCCAUUCUGCAGCCAAUCACCAUAGAGCACUGCAGAUGGGGCGUUCCAAUUUCGAGUAAGAUGAAGUAGGCGCUUUCCAACCUGUCUCUCCUACUAAAUGCAGUAAUAAAACCGGGACAAAAUGCAUGGAACAAAAUUAUCUUACAGCCUGGUCUCAAGGCAGCCCAUGGACGUUGGUGUGGAUAAAGAGAUCUCAAGAAGAAGCCCUCUAGUACUAGCUCAAGGAGCAGGAAAGUCUACUGGCAGAAACAGUCAUGGCAGCAGGAGCCCACAAGCACCCAAAAUUUAGGAAGAGGAACUUUCGUCUCUGAGCAGAGGAGACUAUGGAAGGACUUUUUCUCCCAGUUCCUGGCCAGAAUUAAAAAAUAAUAAUAAAAAAUUUCCCGAGUCAUCUUAUUGGCUCCAGCUUGAAUCACAUCCACUGUGGGAAGGAAGAGUAAAAUACUGUCGACUGUCACUGGCUCAGACCCCCUGGAGCAGUCACUAUGGUCAGAAGUGCAGCUUCCUGUUACAGAUGGUAACAACCCUUCCCAUAGAAAUGGGAGAGAAGGAGGGAGAAAGUAUUCUUCUAAAGAAACUGAAUUCUUUUCCCAAAAGAGGUACUGAGAAAGCAAAAAUAGACAUUCACUUCAAUACCUUCUUAUAUUUUUAAAUCCUAUACAAUGCUAUUGCCUAUUCCAGAGAUUAAUAAACUCCAAUACAUUGUUUGCUCCUAAAUGUGUUUUUUACAUUGAGUCUCUGAUUCAGCACUUUGAUAAGCUCUUCGCAAUUUUACCACCCGGUAGCCAAUUUACUUGGCUUUAAUAAGACAUAUUACCAAAAUACUAUGCAUCCCUUAGUCACAGAAACAGUCUUCUCUUUUUUCACUGUGUUAAAUAAUGAUAUACAUUUUCAAUUUAUCUGUGGUGAGUGUUAGCAUAUGACAGCUGUAUUUGUUUUUCACGAUGUAAAGUGAAUGAUAAUAUCUCACAAGCUGAUUUAUUUCCUUCUUUUUUAUCCAGAAUGAUCUCACUAUGCUAUUUCAGCUUAAAAAUAUGGAUAUUGAUAUACCAGCUGCUUUAACUCUAGAGAAGAAUAGCUCUUUCCCAUGAACCAACAAUUUUACUUAAAAGAGGAGAGAGACAGAAAAUAAAGAAACAUUUCUCAGGGCCAUCUAAACCAAAUAAACAAUCCCACAACCCACAUAAAUUUUGACAAUAUUGCAAGAUUUCUUUUGUUAGGGUAUAAGAUAUAGAAAUACCCACGAAAAUGACAAAUCAAUUAAAGCAUCAAUUCUCAUAAUUGGAGUUGUCAUUGUUAUUUUCAUGUUAUUGACAAAAAAAAAAUGCCUCAUUCACAUUUCCAAUUAAAUUUGCUCCAUUAUGUGUGCAACAAAAAUUCUAUAAAUUGAACAAAAAUGUUGUGGGUGGUAUGUAGCAAAAUGUGUUUUUGUGUGUGUGUAUUUUAUUUUGUUUUAUGGGUUUUUCACUUUAAAGGAACCUAACCAAUUUUAUCUCUGUUUAGAAAAUUAUGCAUGCAGGGACUGAAGCAGUGAUUUAUGCUAUGACAUAAUAUGUUUUUGACACAAAAGUAUUUGUCAAAAAAUGUGACACAUGAGAGCAACUAUUCUAAGUGUUUUAAGGGGAGCAAAGAACACCUGGCUUUCAUCAGUCAAUAAUAUAUCUGACAUAAAUAAUGAUUGAAAACUGACGGCUACAAGAUGUGAUUUAGAUACUUUAAGCUUCUACAAAUAAAAAGGUAAAAAAUAUCAAUUUUGUAUUUUAUAGUAAUUUUGCUGUAAUUGUACUUCUAUUCAUUGCAACAAGCAUUGUAAUUGUAUUAGUAAUUGGUGAGUCAUAUCAUGAAUAACAUCUUUAAUUGUACACUUGUUUUCAUAGUAUAGCUGUAACUCUGCCUCAAAAUUGGGUUCAAUUUGGCACAAUAGAAGAAUAGAUUUAAUCUUUCAUCUACCAUCUGUCUUUCAUGAGUAAUUUUAUAUUUAAAAAUAUAUCAAAAGAAAAUAAAAACCAUGAGAUUAAGCGAUGACACAGGAUUUGGACUGGUCAAAGUCAACAAAAAUGAUGAACAUUAAUUUUGGAAGAUAUGACUUUUCUGAAACCCCAAAGAAAGACAGCCCACACUUUCAUAAAGCCACAGAGAAAUGUCUGUUCUAAAUGGCUCAGGGAAAAUCAAGCCAUCACAAAAUAUUUUUCUCAAAAGACUCAUACUCUGCUUUGGGACUUCAAAACUUCCCGUUUGUACGUAUUGACUGCCUCACCCUGGUGCAAACUCUGGGCUUUCACACUCCAAGUUUAUUUUUAUGGGAUGAGAUAUAUGUAAGAAUCAAUAGAGAUAUUUUCCUACUUUCACAUGACCACCCCACCCAUGCAGUUCCCCCAAAUGCCAUCACCUUAUUGAUUCCAUUAUCAUAAAGCUAUGAUUUUAGAGUAAGGUUUUUAUCUUCAUUUUAGAAAUAGACAAAAAUUAUCUACGCCUUUCUGGUUUGAGCUAUAUUGCAAUAACACAUAGCACAAGUUCGAAUACCCAUGCUUUGUUGUAACUUUGUUAUUGAAGGCCUUCAUUUUUUUUAAAGUACUUUGCCAUCCAUGACAAAGACAGGCUACAUACUCUCACCAAAUUCAUUGGUCCUUCUUUCUGAGAUGUUUCAUUUCCCAGCCUUGCUUAGGGUUAGGAGUGGCCACAUGACUGAGUUCUAGCCCAUAGAAUGUAAAGUAAUAAAUGCCACUUCCAGACAUGGUCCAUAAGAGACUUCCAUGUCCAAUCCACCAUUCUCCUUCCAUAUCUACUGAUUGAAUGGAGUGGUCUCUGAGGAGCUAGAGGAAGGUAGAGGCAGGAUACUUUAGAAUCCAGUUGAGUCCAUGAAUAUGAAACAGUGUCCAAAUCCGUGUGUAUGAGAAAUAACUAUUACAUUAAACAGUUGAGAUUUAGGGACCUACCUAAUUCAGCAGCUAGAGUAACCUUACUAAUACACACUCCCACUCCUAAAUCUGGUUGACUAGUGUCAAAAAAUGAAAUCAGGUCAAGUUAGGAAAAAUGUAAAAGUAAAAAUUUCAAUCUGGGAGACCUCAAACCAACAGCUGUAAGAAGCUCAGAGGCACAUCAUUACAGGAUUGAUUAUAAGUGAAAAUGAAGAAGUUGUUUAACCUUUACAAUGAUUGACUAUUGCAAUGGAGGUUUCCAGAUGGCAGGGAAUUGGUUAAAAGUGAUCAUCAUAUACUGUUUUAGGAAAGUGGUUUAAGUUUUGUUCAUUUAUGAUUUCAUUGAUUUCAUAUGAUUAUCAGAGGCAUUUAUAAGAAAUAACCUAAGUUUCAUUUACAUUCAAAAAUCAAGCUAGAUUAAGUUUUGCUUAUGUGGCCUGUUUUUGUCUGCAUGGGGAAUUCCUCAAACCUGGUCUUCAUUUUAUUUAAUAGUAGGAACCAGGUAUAGAAAUUGAUAAUUUGGAUUAUUGUUCAGGAAACAUUCACUAUCCUCUCCCUCCCACUAUAGAAAGAAUAUUCUUCCUACAUGUUGUCCAUUCGCCCAACUUGUUUUAGCUAAUGGCAUAUUAGCAGAUGUAUUAUGAGAAGAAGACUUAAAUAUUCUUGUGCAGUUUGGCCUUGGCUAUGAUUCUCUGGUCAUCUGCCUGAGAAACAUGCCCUGGGUAGCUGCUCCCCUUCAGCCUAAGCCCCUCAAAAAUCAUAUACAUAUCUAACCUGAACCCAACCUAUGCAGGCAUCCUCAAACUACAGCCCACA